rnacentral:rRNA from 1 species
GUGUUAGUGGAAGCGUCUGGAAAGGCGCGCGAUACAGGGUGACAGCCCCGUACACAAAAAUGCACAUGCUGUGAGCUCGAUGAGUAGGGCGGGACACGUGGUAUCCUGUCUGAAUAUGGGGGGACCAUCCUCCAAGGCUAAAUACUCCUGACUGACCGAUAGUGAACCAGUACCGUGAGGGAAAGGCGAAAAGAACCCCGGCGAGGGGAGUGAAAAAGAACCUGAAACCGUGUACGUACAAGCAGUGGGAGCACGCUUAGGCGUGUGACUGCGUACCUUUUGUAUAAUGGGUCAGCGACUUAUAUUCUGUAGCAAGGUUAACCGAAUAGGGGAGCCGAAGGGAAACCGAGUCUUAACUGGGCGUUAAGUUGCAGGGUAUAGACCCGAAACCCGGUGAUCUAGCCAUGGGCAGGUUGAAGGUUGGGUAACACUAACUGGAGGACCGAACCGACUAAUGUUGAAAAAUUAGCGGAUGACUUGUGGCUGGGGGUGAAAGGCCAAUCAAACCGGGAGAUAGCUGGUUCUCCCCGAAAGCUAUUUAGGUAGCGCCUCGUGAACUCAUCUCCGGGGGUAGAGCACUGUUUCGGCAAGGGGGUCAUCCCGACUUACCAACCCGAUGCAAACUGCGAAUACCGGAGAAUGUUAUCACGGGAGACACACGGCGGGUGCUAACGUCCGUCGUGAAGAGGGAAACAACCCAGACCGCCAGCUAAGGUCCCAAAGUCAUGGUUAAGUGGGAAACGAUGUGGGAAGGCCCAGACAGCCAGGAUGUUGGCUUAGAAGCAGCCAUCAUUUAAAGAAAGCGUAAUAGCUCACUGGUCGAGUCGGCCUGCGCGGAAGAUGUAACGGGGCUAAACCAUGCACCGAAGCUGCGGCAGCGACGCUUAUGCGUUGUUGGGUAGGGGAGCGUUCUGUAAGCCUGUGAAGGUGUACUGUGAGGUAUGCUGGAGGUAUCAGAAGUGCGAAUGCUGACAUAAGUAACGAUAAAGCGGGUGAAAAGCCCGCUCGCCGGAAGACCAAGGGUUCCUGUCCAACGUUAAUCGGGGCAGGGUGAGUCGACCCCUAAGGCGAGGCCGAAAGGCGUAGUCGAUGGGAAACAGGUUAAUAUUCCUGUACUUGGUGUUACUGCGAAGGGGGGACGGAGAAGGCUAUGUUGGCCGGGCGACGGUUGUCCCGGUUUAAGCGUGUAGGCUGGUUUUCCAGGCAAAUCCGGAAAAUCAAGGCUGAGGCGUGAUGACGAGGCACUACGGUGCUGAAGCAACAAAUGCCCUGCUUCCAGGAAAAGCCUCUAAGCAUCAGGUAACAUCAAAUCGUACCCCAAACCGACACAGGUGGUCAGGUAGAGAAUACCAAGGCGCUUGAGAGAACUCGGGUGAAGGAACUAGGCAAAAUGGUGCCGUAACUUCGGGAGAAGGCACGCUGAUAUGUAGGUGAAGCGACUUGCUCGUGGAGCUGAAAUCAGUCGAAGAUACCAGCUGGCUGCAACUGUUUAUUAAAAACACAGCACUGUGCAAACACGAAAGUGGACGUAUACGGUGUGACGCCUGCCCGGUGCCGGAAGGUUAAUUGAUGGGGUCAGCGCAAGCGAAGCUCUUGAUCGAAGCCCCGGUAAACGGCGGCCGUAACUAUAACGGUCCUAAGGUAGCGAAAUUCCUUGUCGGGUAAGUUCCGACCUGCACGAAUGGCGUAAUGAUGGCCAGGCUGUCUCCACCCGAGACUCAGUGAAAUUGAACUCGCUGUGAAGAUGCAGUGUACCCGCGGCAAGACGGAAAGACCCCGUGAACCUUUACUAUAGCUUGACACUGAACAUUGAGCCUUGAUGUGUAGGAUAGGUGGGAGGCUUUGAAGUGUGGACGCCAGUCUGCAUGGAGCCGACCUUGAAAUACCACCCUUUAAUGUUUGAUGUUCUAACGUUGACCCGUAAUCCGGGUUGCGGACAGUGUCUGGUGGGUAGUUUGACUGGGGCGGUCUCCUCCUAAAGAGUAACGGAGGAGCACGAAGGUUGGCUAAUCCUGGUCGGACAUCAGGAGGUUAGUGCAAUGGCAUAAGCCAGCUUGACUGCGAGCGUGACGGCGCGAGCAGGUGCGAAAGCAGGUCAUAGUGAUCCGGUGGUUCUGAAUGGAAGGGCCAUCGCUCAACGGAUAAAAGGUACUCCGGGGAUAACAGGCUGAUACCGCCCAAGAGUUCAUAUCGACGGCGGUGUUUGGCACCUCGAUGUCGGCUCAUCACAUCCUGGGGCUGAAGUAGGUCCCAAGGGUAUGGCUGUUCGCCAUUUAAAGUGGUACGCGAGCUGGGUUUAGAACGUCGUGAGACAGUUCGGUCCCUAUCUGCCGUGGGCGCUGGAGAACUGAGGGGGGCUGCUCCUAGUACGAGAGGACCGGAGUGGACGCAUCACUGGUGUUCGGGUUGUCAUGCCAAUGGCACUGCCCGGUAGCUAAAUGCGGAAGAGAUAAGUGCUGAAAGCAUCUAAGCACGAAACUUGCCCCGAGAUGAGUUCUCCCUGACUCCUUGAGAGUCCUGAAGGAACGUUGAAGACGACGACGUUGAUAGGCCGGGUGUGUAAGCGCAGCGAUGCGUUGAGCUAACCGGUACUAAUGAACCGUGAGGCUUAACCUU